rnacentral:rRNA from 1 species
GAUGAACGCUAGCGGGGGGCUUAAUACAUGCAAGUCGAGGGGUAACAGAGAGAACCUAGUUCUCUGCUAACGACCGGCGCACGGGUGAGUAACGCGUACACGACCUACCUUCAAGAAGGGAAUAGCCCCGGGAAACUGGGAUUAAUGCCCUAUGUGAUUAUAGAACUACAUGGUUUUAUAAUUAAAGUUCAGGCGCUUGAAGGUGGGUGUGCGUGCUAUUAGAUAGUUGGUGAGGUAACGGCUCACCAAGUCGACGAUAGCUAGGGGGCGUGAGAGCGUGACCCCCCACACGGGUACUGAGACACGGACCCG